UACGUAGGUGGUUUAUUAAGUCAGAUGUGAAAGCCCUGGGCUUAACCUGGGAACUGCAUUUGAUACUGGUAAACUAGAGUAUGGUAGAGGGGGAUAGAAUUCCUAGUGUAGCGGUGAAAUGCGUAGAUAUUAGGAGGAAUACCAGUGGCGAAGGCGGCCCCCCUGGGCCUAUACUGACACUGAGGUACGAAAGCGUGGGUAGCGAACA
rnacentral:rRNA from 1 species